rnacentral:rRNA from 1 species
UACAGAGGAGCCAAGCGUUGUCCGGAUUGACUGGGCGUAAAGCGCACGCAGGCGGACGCGCGCGUGGGGUGUGAAAUCUGGCCGCUUAACGGCCAGGCGCCAUCCCAUACGGCGCGACUGGAGUGAUGCAGAGGUCGAUGGAAUUGCCGGUGUAGUGGUGAAAUGCGUAGAGAUCGGCAGGAACACCCAGGGGGAAACCAGUCGACUGGGCAUCUACUGACGCUGAGGAGCGAAAGCGUGGGGAGCGAACAGG